rfam:Tuber melanosporum whole genome shotgun sequence assembly, scaffold_40, strain Mel28
GACAUCGUGGCCGAGCGGUUAAGGCGAGAGAUUAGAAAUCUCUUACUUUCGGGUGCGCAAGUUCGAAUCUUGUCGAUGUCG